GACGAACGCUGGCGGCGUGCUUAACACAUGCAAGUCGAACGGUAAGGCCCUUCGGGGUACACGAGUGGCGAACGGGUGAGUAACACGUGGGUGAUCUGCCCUGCACUUCGGGAUAAGCCUGGGAAACUGGGUCUAAUACCGGAUAGGACUCCUGGCUUCAUGGUUGGGGGUGGAAAGCUUUUGCGGUGUGGGAUGGGCCCGCGGCCUAUCAGCUUGUUGGGGGGGUAAUGGCCUACCAAGGGGACGACGGGUAGCCGGCCUGAGAGGGUGACCGGUCACACUGGGACUGAGAUACGGCCCAGACUCCUACGGGAGGCAGCAGUGGGGAAUAGUGCACAAUGGGCGCAAGCCUGAUGCAGCGACGCCGCGUGAGGGAUGACGGCCUUCGGGUUGUAAACCUCUUUCAGCUAUGACGAAGCGCAAGUGACGGUAGUAGCAGAAGAAGGACCGGCCAACUACGUGCCAGCAGCCGCGGUAA
rnacentral:rRNA from 1 species